GACGAACGCUGGCGGCGUGCUUAACACAUGCAAGUCGAACGGAAAGGCCCUGCUUUUGUGGGGUGCUCGAGUGGCGAACGGGUGAGUAACACGUGAGUAACCUGCCCUUGACUUUGGGAUAACUUCAGGAAACUGGGGCUAAUACCGGAUAGGAGCUCCUGCUGCAUGGUGGGGGUUGGAAAGUUUCGGCGGUUGGGGAUGGACUCGCGGCUUAUCAGCUUGUUGGUGGGGUAGUGGCUUACCAAGGCUUUGACGGGUAGCCGGCCUGAGAGGGUGACCGGCCACAUUGGGACUGAGAUACGGCCCAGACUCCUACGGGAGGCAGCAGUGGGGUAUAUUGCACAAUGGGCAGAAGCCUGAUGCAGCAACGCCGCGUGCGGGAUGACGGCCUUCGGGUUGUAAACCGCUUUCGCCUGUGACGAAGCGUGAGUGACGGUAAUGGGUAAAGAAGCACCGGCUAACUACGUG
rnacentral:rRNA from 1 species